UACGCAGGGGGCAAGCGUUGUCCGGAUUUAUUGGGCGUAAAGAGCGUGUAGGCGGUUAGGUAGGUCCGUUGUGAAAACUCGAGGCUCAACCUCGAGACGCCGAUGGAAACCCCCUAACUAGAGUCCGGAAGAGGAGAGUGGAAUUCCUGGUGUAGCGGUGAAAUGCGCAGAUAUCAGGAAGAACACCCGUGGCUAAGGCGGCUCUCUAGUACGGUACUGACGCUGAGACGCGAAAGCGUGGGGAGCGAACAGG
rnacentral:rRNA from 1 species